UACGUAGGGUGCAAGCGUUGUCCGGAAUUAUUGGGCGUAAAGAGCUCGUAGGCGGUUUGUCGCGUCUGCUGUGAAAACCCGAGGCUCAACCUCGGCACUGCCGUCGAUACUGCUAUGGCUAGAGUUUGGUAGAGGAGAACGGAAUUCCCGGUGUAGCGGUGGAAUGCGCAGAUAUCUGGAGGAACACCGGUGGCGAAGGCGGCAUCCUGGACCGAUACUGACGCUGAGGAGCGAAAGCCAGGGAGCAAAGCGGG
rnacentral:rRNA from 1 species